UGUUUUGCUCAGCGCAUUCUGUGAGAAUUAGCAUGUUAGUGAGAUAAUCCAUCCCUUAUUGCUCGGUGAGGAGACAUGACAAAUCAGUUCUGGCUUAUGUUCCUUAUGAAUGUGACUUCAAGGCUGCACUGGAGGAUUUAGAUAUUGCUUUCUUUGAAUAAGAUACAGCCGUAUCAGUUUGAACCACAAAAGGUUACAGCUCCCUCCAGGACCCAGUUAGACUCUUGGCGAGCAUUAGAGGGAUGCGAGGAUGACAGACAGCUAAAAGAUGCCAAUUAAUUUGAACUGAGGAACCUGUUAGUCACCCAGCUCCACUCUGGAUGUUCAUAAAAUCAUGGAACUGGAAGGGACCUCUAGAGGUCAUCUAGUCUAGUCCCCUGCACUCAAGCACCUGGUGAGUGGGAAGAUGGGUCGCACCAUGUCCCCGGAAGAAAAGGAACGCCCUGGAGGACAAUAGUUCAGAAAAGCUCUCUGAGCGUUGGGUGUCUUAAUUUGAAACAGGUUGAGAAGUGAGUUCCCCAAGGCGGCUACACUGUAUUUAAAGAGGAGGGAAGAAUUUAAAACGCAGGGCUAGAAAGUGAGAGACAAAGGUGAGUGAGGUAAUGUCUUUUAUUGGACCAACUUCUGUUGGUGAGAGAGACAAGCUUUCGAGGCACACAGAAGUUUCUGCAGGUCGUAUCCUGGGUCAUUUAACCACAGCCCUGUAUGGGGCACAGUGCAGGACGGCACCUUCCUGAUCCUGCUGGUGGUAUUAUCUAUUUAUAAUUUGUAUUACAGUAAACCUGCCCCACCGCACCCAACUGAGAUCAGGGUCCUGUUGCGCCGGGUAUUGCACAUCCACAUAGAAAUAUAUAGUCCCUGCCCCAAAGAGCUUGCAAUGUAAAAAGACAAGAUGGCCCAAAGAGCAGGUGGAAAGUUGGCCCAGUGGCCAGGGCACUAGCUUGCAAUUCAUUAGACCCAGGUUCUAUUCCCUGCUCUGUUACAUGCUUCCUAUGAGAUCUUAGGCAAGUCACUCAGGGCAGCGUUUCUCGAUGACCGGACAGGUGCCGGUCCCUGAGAUCUCCCUGGCACAGUUUAGGAAAGCAGCAGGCCAGUAUCGAAAAGCUUGAGAAAUGCUGACUUAGGGUCCACAUCUGCACUGCAGCUGAGAGGUGUGACUCCCAGUGCUGGUAGACAUACACACACUAGCUCGUCCCAAGGUAGCACCUGGCAAUAACUGUGUGUGGGUGCAAGGACAUAGUGAGGGCUUGGGCUAGCAGCCAGAACACAAUCCCCACCCCCGCCCCAGGUAUGCACCUGGUCACCCCCAUGGCUAUUUUCAGGUGCUGUUUGUAUGUCUACCUAGCUGGGAGUGACUUCUCCCAGCCUAAAGCCCUACUCUUACUUGCUCGGUGCCUUGGUCAGCCAUUUGCCCAGCCCUUCUCUGACUCACAGGGUUGCUGGGAGGAGACGAUUUCAUAGCACUUUGGACACUGCGGUUCCAGGGCCAUGUAAGUACAGACUGUGCAUAAGUAUUUGGCAGGUGGAGAACUGAGCCCAAACAGAUGAUAUGACUCCCUUCAGGUCACACAGCCUCUGUGCCCUAGCUGGGAACUGAACCCACAUCUCCUGAGUCCCAGUCCAAUGCCUGCACCAAGGAGACCCUUCUUCUCUCUAGGGAGGGGUUUCCUCUGCCCGAGGGGGCGCUCCAGGAAGGACUGUGCUGGGUAAGGCAGGUCUUUAGGGAGUUCUGGGGGCAUGUGCAUGCUGCAGGAUCUGGAACAGCCUGCUCCACUCCAUUCCUGGCUAGCUCCAGGAUCAGUGUGGAGGGGUCAUAGAGUAGGGCUGGGACUGUGCCUCCUCUCUGCCUCUCCCCACCCACUUGGUAAUGAUCUGUGCUCAGGAUGGGGGCCACACUGAGAGAGCAGUUCCUGCACUUCCCCCAAGCCCAGGAACUGCACUUGUCUGUGGUC